UUUUUCCUCAACACAUUCUCUAAUUACGUUACUAUCACCUCUGGACGCGCCGGGGAUCGCGCUGCGCGGCGCGGCGGGCGCGGGAGUGGCUCAGCCUUUUGUCGGUCGUGACAUUGAUUCAUGUUUCUGAGCCUGAAGCCUGUUGAUUCACACAAACAGCAGAUAGCCCUAGUGCUGUACUUCUUUUACACGAGAAACAGAAAAGCUUUUUAAUAUGAGAAUAGUCAAGCUCGGCUCAUGUCCACCCUGACACCACCACCAGUGAUUCAGUGAAUUUAUUCACUUUUAUGUACUAGAGAUUCACCAGUGCAUUAGCUGUGAUCCUUAAAACUGAUCCACUUCUAGUUUGCCUGGUAACAUAGCCAAUAAUGCACAUCUACUUUAUUUAUAUUCCCUGUGAAGCUCUGUGUGCUUCUGUGUUGGAAUGUGAACAUGCAUCUGUGCAUGUGUAUGCAGGAUACGGCAUGCACUCACUGUGUUUUGUGAAUAAAUGUAUGUUAUGUGUCAUUUGCAUCUAUCCAGGUAAAGUGCGGCUGGUGUUUGUUUACAUGUGAACAUCAUACACUGUAUUAGGCCUAUACGUAUCCGUUUCUGUACAUCAUGUUAGUACUUAACUUAUUUUACAAUUUAUAUGAUUAUUACAUGAACAGAGAUGUGUGAACAUGGUCAUUAUAUGUAUGCAUGCCUUAAAGUCUUGCUUUUGAGCAUUCCCAUCAUUGUUUCACAGGUAAAAAAUAUACAGUAAAUUUAACCCAUACUGAUCCACAUUUGUGACAACAUGCCCAGUGGGUCAAAUUAUAUGAGCAAAGUUGUCACACUGAGAAUCUGCCUUUAUAACAUAUUAUAGGGGUUUUAAGCACAUUUAAACAUUAAAAAAAAGAAAAAAGUUCAAAUUUAAUGCAAAAACAAAAAUGAAAUAUGUAACAACAAAAAUAUCCAAAAUAUGACACUGUAAUAGAUAAAUUGUAUACAAUUAAAGCACUUGAAACACGACAACCUAAAAUUUACUGAAAAUAGCUUGGUUGUAAAAAGAACACAUUGGAUAUACCUUCAUAUAUUACCUGUACAUAUUCAUGUGGGUGACUAUUGCAUUAAUGUAUUAUAUUGGAAUUUUAGAACAGAAUUUACAAAAAAAUGUUCACUGCAAAAAAAUGAUAUUACUAUUUUUGUUUUGUCUUUUUUCCAGUAGAAAAAUUCAUUUUCUUGGGCAGAAAGUCUUAUGAUAUUAAGUCUUUUUUUUUUUUACUAUUAAUUAAAAGGGAAAACUAUUUUUUUUGUUUUGUUUUUUACACAAUGGGCUUUUUUUAUUUGCUUUAUGAAGUCACUUAAUUUUAACGAAAAUAUGUCUUAAAGAAAAAUACUUUAUCUCUUGUCAUUUUGAAUCUCAAUAAAAUGGAUCUUGAUUCAAGAAUGCUUAGAUAU
ensembl:lncRNA